GGCCUGCCUUCAGAGCCGCCAGCAAAGGGCCAUCCCGCCAGGCAAACUCUCCUCCCUUGCCACCUUCAACAGGUAGAUCUGCUCCAAACAGAAAGUAAAUUUUGCAGAAAGUUGCCUGGAGCAGGAGAUGGCAUCAGAAGUAUACUGUAAAGGGGCCAAAUAGAUGCAUCCUUCUGUGAUGGGGUCCAGAAGAUGACAAGAUGGAAGAAGUUUCAGACUGAAACAUGAAAUGCAAGAAAUUUAAAAUUUCAUGAAACUGAUGAUCAGCUACACAAGAUCAAGAGUAACCAAAUGUGUGUCACAGAUGAAAUCCAAGUGCUUGCCCAAAUGGGAUCUGGCUUGCCUCUUUGCAAUUUAGCUAUAUAUUCUUUUUUGUGCAGAAAGUGGCUACUUACUACUAGUACUAUCAGCAUUUUACAAGAGCCUCUGCUUUAUCUAGCUUGUUUUAUCUCCACUUUUGAAUUUUAACCACACAUAUUUAUACUUCUGUCCAAAGUCUUGGCUAACAAAAAGUGUUCCAAUUUUAGAAUGUGGUAUUGGUAAACCAUUUCAAAGCAUUUUCAUAAAUGCCUCCUUAACUAACCUAUUUAAAAUAGGGCUCUAAGCCUGUAUGUUGUAAUCCCCAUUUUGGGGUGUUAUUUUUAUUCACUUAACACAACCUAAAAUUACAGUAUGUAUCUCCUUAUUUAUUGGUUACCUUCACCUCUUGAAUUAAAAGGUCUAUGAGGAGAACCAGGAUUCUGUCUCUUAUUUAUAGCUGUAUCUCUAGUACCUGGGCAACUCAGUAAUUAUUUGUAUAAAAAAUAAGGAACAAACCACAAAAUGCAAAGUAAAACAUUAAUAUGAUCCUAUUUCAAAACUUUACACAGGGGGCACCUGGGUAGCUCAGAUGUUUGAGCAUCCAAGUUGAUUUCAGCUCGGGUCGUGACCCCAACAUCGUGGGAUCAAGUCCCUCAUUGGGCUAUGCACUGAGGAUGGAGCCCGCUUAAGAUUCUCUCUCCCUCUGCUCCCCUCCCCUACUCGCCCUCUCUCCCUCCCUCCCUAUAAAUUAAAAACAAAACAAAA